GUUGGACAGUCCUGGUUGUGUGUUGAAUGUUCCUGGUUGCGGUAUUUUAUUGGGCUUAGAAAUUUUUCUGCUCUUAGGAGGAACAUAAAUGAUUUUAAUUACAGUACACAAAGUCUCUCCUGCCUACGCCACCUCUUAGCAGCCAUAGAACUAAAGAGACUACCGGUGCUGUACAGACUGAGUUAAACUGAAUAGCUAUCAAAGAGGAACCCAGGGCCUUGAAGAAACCUCAAGCAAUAAAUGACAACAUCAUCGCAGGGUCCCUCCUCCAAGAUGACUUCAUCCUGUGUUAAGCUGACCAAUCAACCAGCCAGCUCGUGGAUCUACCUUAGUCAAGAAAAGCUAAAGGUCACAAUCGAAUAUACGUGUUCUGGCUAUCUUUCCCUGAAUGGCCUAAUGCAAAGCCUAUGACCAGGCUUUUUAACCAAUGAUUCCUAGAGCUCCAUUACAGGGCAAAUUUGGGGAAACUGAUAUAACCUAAGACCUAAUUCUAUAUGCAGAAACUAAGGCCCAAGGAGAAGAUGAUGCCCAUUAUGAAAUAUCAUCAGGCACCUACCCACCCUGCGCACAAUGAAAGCACAACAGAAACGAUCAGAAAAAUGGAGACGAUGCACCGUGCGCGUUCCUGGUGGGAUUAUGAAUUGGCACAGCCAUUCUGGCACAUAGUUGGUUAAUACAAGUCAUAAUAUUAAAU
rnacentral:lncRNA from 1 species